rnacentral:lncRNA from 1 species
GUUCACUUUUGACUGGUACUGUAUAUAUUAUUGUUCACUUUUUGCGUAAAGCUUUGCUGUUGAUUACUGCAUUCAGUUUAGGAUGCUCAUUUUGGCAGGUCCUAAUAAUGUCUGUUUAUUUGGGAUCUGAAAGUGAAGAUGUUUGUAAGUUAUAUCUGAGCAUACUCCAUGACCAUGUGUUAAGGAAACACACACAAGUGUGGAGGUAGGGAGGUGUUUCCCAUGCCAAUAAAGCUCUUGAAUUGAAUUGACAGGUAUAUGGAUGGAGAGAGAGGUAGAGGGGGAGAGAGGUAGGUAGAGAGAGCGAGAGAGAGAUGUUUUUCAUGCCAAUAAAGUUAUUGAAUUGAAUUGAGAGGUGUAUGGAGGUAGAGAGAGGUAGAGGGAGAGAAGUGUAGGGAGGUAGAGAGCGGUAGAGUGAGAGAGAGGUGUAGGGAGGUAGCGAGAGGUGUAGGGAGGUAGAGAGCGGUAGAGGGAGAGAGAGGUGUAGGGAGGUAGAGAGCGGUAGAGGGAGAGAGAGGUGUAGGGAGGUAGCGAGAGGUGUAGGGAGGUAGAGAGCGGUAGAGGGAGAGAGAGGUGUAGGGAGUUAGCGAGAGGUGUAGGGAGGUAGAGAGCGGUAGAGGGAGAGAGGUGUAGGGAGGUAGAGAGCGGUAGAGAGAGAGAGAGAGGUGUAGGGAGGUAGCGAGAGGUAGAGUGAGAGAGAGGUGUAGGGAGGUAGAGAGCGGUAGAGGUAGCGAGAGGUGUAGGGAGGUAGAGAGCGGUAGAGGGAGAGAGAGGUGUAGGGAGGUAGAGAGCGGUAGAGAGAGAGAGAGGUGUAGGGAGGUAGCGAGAGGUAGAGUGAGAGAGAGGUGUAGGGAGGUAGAGAGCGGUAGAGGGAGAGAGAGGUGUAGGGAGGUAGCGAGAGGUAGAGGGAGAGAGAGGUGUAGGGAGGUAGAGAGCG